GCUGGAGUCAUUUUCUAAAGCAGUGCA
rnacentral:piRNA from 1 species